UACGUAGGGUGCGAGCGUUGUCCGGAAUUAUUGGGCGUAAGGGGCUCGUAGGCGGUUUGUCGCGUCGGGAGUGAAAACACCGGGCUUAACUCGGUGCUUGCUUUCGAUACGGGCAAACUAGAGUAUUGCAGGGGAGACUGGAAUUCCUGGUGUAGCGGUGAAAUGCGCAGAUAUCAGGAGGAACACCGAUGGCGAAGGCAGGUCUCUGGGCCACUACUGACGCUGAGAAGCGAAAGCAUGGGGAGCGAACAGG
rnacentral:rRNA from 1 species